rfam:Oryza glumipatula chromosome 4, whole genome shotgun sequence.
AAUGUAUGACGCCGUAGACUUUUUAUCCAAUGUUUGACUAUUCGUCUUAUUUAAAAAAUUUAUGUAAUUAUUAUUUAUUUUAUUGUGAUUUGAUUCGUCAUCAAAUGUUCUUUAAGCAUGACAUAAAUAUUUUUAUAUUUACAUAAAAUUUUUAAAUAAAACGAAUGGUCAAACAUUGAUCGAAAUGUCAACGGAUUCAUACAUU